GACGUAGGGCGCGAGCGUUGUCCGGAAUUAUUGGGCGUAAAGAGCUCGUAGGCGGCUUGUUGCGUCGGCUGUGAAAACCCAUGGACUUAACUGUGGGCUUGCAGCCGAUACGGGCAGGCUAGAGUUCGGUAGGGGAGACUGGAAUUCCUGGUGUAGCGGUGGAAUGCGCAGAUAUCAGGAAGAACACCCGUGGCGAAGGCGGCUCUCUGGGACGGUACUGACGCUGAGACGCGAAAGCGUGGGGAGCGAACAGG
rnacentral:rRNA from 1 species